rnacentral:rRNA from 1 species
AAUGAACCGGCGAGUUACGAUUUGAUGCAAGGUUAAGCAGUAAAUGUGGAGCCGUAGCGAAAGCGAGUCUGAAUAGGGCGUUUAGUAUUUGGUCGUAGACCCGAAACCAGGUGAUCUACCCUUGGUCAGGUUGAAGUUCAGGUAACACUGAAUGGAGGACCGAACCGACUUACGUUGAAAAGUGAGCGGAUGAACUGAGGGUAGCGGAGAAAUUCCAAUCGAACCUGGAGAUAGCUGGUUCUCUCCGAAAUAGCUUUAGGGCUAGCCUCAAGUGAUGAUUAUUGGAGGUAGAGCACUGUUUGGACGAGGGGCCCCUCUCGGGUUACCGAAUUCAGACAAACUCCGAAUGCCAAUU